CGGCGGACGGGUGAGUAACACGUGGAUAACCUACCUAUAAGACUGGGAUAACUUCGGGAAACCGGAGCUAAUACCGGAUAAUAUAUUGAACCGCAUGGUUCAAUAGUGAAAGACGGUUUUGCUGUCACUUAUAGAUGGAUCCGCGCCGCAUUAGCCAGUUGGUAAGGUAACGGCUUACCAAGGCGACGAUGCGUAGCCGACCUGAGAGGGUGAUCGGCCACACUGGAACUGAGACACGGUCCAG
rnacentral:rRNA from 1 species